rnacentral:rRNA from 1 species
AACGAACGCUGGCGGCAUGCCUAACACAUGCAAGUCGAACGAGACCUUCGGGUCUAGUGGCGCACGGGUGCGUAACGCGUGGGAAUCUGCCCUUGGGUUCGGAAUAACAGUGAGAAAUUACUGCUAAUACCGGAUGAUGUCUUCGGACCAAAGAUUUAUCGCACAGGGAUGAGCCCGCGUAGGAUUAGCUAGUUGGUGGGGUAAUGGCCUACCAAGGCGACGAUCCUUAGCUGGUCUGAGAGGAUGAUCAGCCACACUGGGACUGAGACACGGCCCAGACUCCUACGGGAGGCAGCAGUGGGGAAUAUUGGACCAUGGGCGCAAGCCUGAUCCAGCAAUGCCGCGUGAGUGAUGAAGGCCGUAGGGUUGUAAAGCUCUUUUACCCGGGAUGAUAAUGACAGUACCGGGAGAAUAAGCUCCGGCUAACUCCGUG